rnacentral:lncRNA from 1 species
ACGGGGGAAAGAUGAGGAGAUGUGCAAUUAGUAUACCUAAGAAUGUAACGUAGAAAGAUCAUUUCUCUUCAUCAAAGUUUUCCGCGGCCUUUUGUGCUGUGCUAGGUCGAACUACCUGUUUGUAAUGUUAGUUAUACAGGUUAGCAUAGAAGUACAACGCUGUGAACGGAAAAUGCACCCAACACGUUUAUAAAUGCAGUUUUCUCCGUUUAACGGGGGCGUUCACGUUAUGGGCCCCCUUUUCAUGUUUCUGGGCAGAUGAAAAUUGGGCUUUUGGCAGGCUGAGCACCGUAGGGUUUGUUUCACUUGCCGCCGCCGCCGCCUCCCAGCUCUGCCUCCUCCAGCCCUCGCCCAGGGUCACGUGGCCUCUGGCGCUCGCUUCAAGCCCACCUAUGCUAUGCCUUCGACCGUGCUUGCCGGCUCGUCUCAGGCGCCGCCGCCGCCGCCGAGUCGCCCGGCUCCCGAGCUCGCCCUCCUCCACGCGCCUCCUGUCCUGUUCUGUCCUAUCCUAUCCUAUGUCCCUGUAAUGCCCCUUGGCCACGUCGAACUCCGCCGCGACGUUGAGGUCGCCAAGGCUUCAUCUCCGACGAGACACCAGACACGGUAAGUCUAUUUGGUUCAUUCGAUAUUCCGUUAUUCGAUAAUCUCCAUAGAAAUUCGUGACAAGGUUUUAUAUCCGCCCUACGGGCCGGCCACACAAACAGUAUCACUAGUUACAGCAAAAAAAAAAAAACUCUUAUGACUAGUUUAAGAACUCUAUUUUAUCAAGGGAUUUUUAUUUUUUUAAUUUUUCUUAAGAAAAUAGAAAUCCCUAAAAAAAAUGGGGUUCUCAAACUAGCCCUUAAAGCGAAAUACUAUUUGUCGGACUCCUGUCAAGAUUACAGUCGUUUUCACAGUACCAUUGCUUCAGUCUGUCCACCGUCAGUCAUGACAUCUGCAUGUUAGAUUUUGUGGUGUCUAAGAUCAAUUUCUAAGCCCCUAAAAUACCAAUCUGUACUUGAAAAAACCUCGAUGAUGAGUAGAUCUAUUCUACUGAGUUGUGUAGGUAGACAUACCUUCGUUGUUGUUGUUCAUGGUAGCAGCCAUGGCAGUGGUGUCUUGCAUCGUAGACCCGCCUCCUCCUGCUCCACCACCUUCCUGCGUGUUCUGGCGAGGUUUGGGUUCGCCGUCGCCAGUCGGCGGUGGAUAUCCUCUUCCAAGAGCACCUGCAUGCGGCUCGGAUCCCAUGCCCGUUGGGGUGAUCACGGAGCUCGACACCAUAGAUCACAACUCUUCCUGUCACUACGCACGCCUAGGUGAUGGGGACCUGUGUGGAUGUCGAUUAGGGUUUGUGGUCGAGCGAUUAGUGUUAUCUAAGCUCGAUGGCCCCUUAAUCUAUAUAUAUGGUGUCGUGUGGCCGGGGCUGCAACCAACGGUUAGGAUAGCCCCCGAUCAAGGGUGCAGAUAGACGGUUAGGAUUAACUCUACCCUGGUUCCUGUUAUCUGGCUCAUGUAGAGGACACACCCUAACAAUCUCUCCUUUGUUCUCGACAUACCUUACACAUAGAGACCGAUGCGUGACAACGACCGAUUAAGUAUCGUUGUACUCAUUGACUACAACAUGCUCCCCUGCUUCAUAAUGAAAAGGUACUUUACUAGGUUUCAAUUUAUAGCCCCUAUGAUUUAAGAUCAUAGACACUCCCUUAAACCCAUGUCGGCUAUGUGUUGUGUAAACACGCUAGGUAGAGGCCUUUUGUGAGCGGAUUCGCUAGCAUCUGCUGGGUUCUAAUAUGCUCAACUUCAAUGGUUUGAUCCUAAAUCUUCUCCCUAAUAAUAUAAGACUUAAUGUCAAUAUAUUUGGCAGCGCCACUUGAUUUAUUGUUAUAGGAGAAAAAUACCGCUGGCUCAUUAUCGCAGUAAAUUCUUAGUGGUAUUUCUAUGCUAUCAACCACUAUUAAUCCGAGUAUGAAUUUCUUCAUCCAUAUUGCCUGUCCAGUUGCCUCAUACGUAGCUACAAACUCAACAUGCAUUGUUGACAAUUCUCUCGUUGUAUGUUUGCAACUCUUCCAAGAAAUAGCCCCCUAGAAAGUGUAAAUAGUGUAAAUACAUAUCCUAAAAUGGACUUCAGUGUAUCUCUACAACCUCCCCAGUCAGCAUCUGCAUAACCAACUAUUUGCAAGGAACUAGAUCUUCUGUAUGUUAGCAUGAGACCUUUAGUACCUUUUAGGUAUCUUAGAGCAUUCUUGACUGCUUUCCAGUGAUCUAUGCCUAGAUUUUUUUGAUAUCGUCCAAGCAUCCCGAUGGUAAAUGCUAAGUCAGGGUGAGUACAUACUUGAGCACGCAUAAUGCUUCCGAUAGCUAAGUCAUGGUGCUGACUUCAUCUUGUUUUUCUCAUACUGAUUCUUAGCACACUGAUAAUCCCCGAACUUAUCACACUUGACUAUUGGCGCAGGCGAGGCCUUACACUAAUGCAUACUAUAACUCUUUAGUAAGUUUUCUAUGUAUGACUUCUGAGAGUCAUAGUACUCCCUUUUGUCUAUCUCUAUGAAUUUCUAUUCUUAGAACAUAAGAGGCUUCUCACAUGUCUUUCAUAUCGAAGUUUGAGGAAAGAAAUCUCUUUGUUUCUGCUAGUAGAUCCUUAUCACUACUAGCUAAAAGUAUGACAUCGACAUACAUAAUAAGAAAGGUAUACUUUCCUUUCUUAAACUUUUCAUAAAUGCAAUUGUCUUCCUUGUUUUUCUCAAAACCGAACUUUCUGAAAGUCUGAUCAAACUUGAGAGACCACUGUCUUGAGGCUUGCUUUUAUCUAUAAAUAGACCUCCUUAAGGGUCUGUUUGGUUGGGUGUGGCUGUGAAAAAAGUUGUUGUGUGCUGUGAGCUGUGUAAAAAGCUGUUGUGGGCUGUGAGCUAUUAAAAGCUAAAAAUUAUUUGGUGAAACCACUAAAAGCCGUUAAAAGUACUUCGAUAUAUGUUUUCACAGUUUCAUCCGAAAGCUACUAAAAGCAGGUCUAGGGGUGCUUUCAGUUUUGCACUACGAGAAAGUCAGCUUUUAGAAAACGCUGCUUUCUGUAUCCAGCCCUUUGGUUUGGCUUUUGGCUUUUAGGGGGCAAAAGCCAAAGCCAAAAGCCAAACCAAACACACCCUAAGUAACAUCCCAUAUGUUCUUUUCCGCGUAUGACAAAAACCUUUGGUUGUGCCAUGAACACGUUUUCUACUAAUUCUCCAUUUAAGAAUGUUGUCUUCACAUCCAUCUGAUGGAGUUCCAAAUCAACAUGGGCCACUAAUGCCAUGAUCCGGAAUGAAUUUUUCAUCGAGACAUGUAAGAAGGUUUCAUGGUAGUCCAUGCGUUCUCUCUGUGUGAACCCUUUGGCCACAAGUCUAGCCUUGUAUCUCUCUAAAUUUUCAUUUAGAUUCAUGCUUGGUCUUGUAGACCCACUUACAGCCUACUAUUUUGGCUAUUUGGGAAAUGAUCUCUAGUCCCGAACUUUGUUCAAUCUCAUGUAUUCUAAUUGAUCUUCCAUGGCUGAAACCCAUUUAGAUGAAUUUUCACUUCUCAUAGCUUCUUCAUAUGUAGUGGGAUCACCUUCUGCAUCAAUGUCCUCACUCAUAUAUAUUUCAUCACUUUAUGUGUCUAUACUUGCAUAAACUUCAUAUCCACUAGGAAUCGUAGAUCGUCUAGACCUUUGAGACCUUCUUAGACUUGGUUCUGCUUCUGGUUCAUUCUAGGGCUCCUGCAAUGGUGCGCCACUUAGUGCAACACUACCACUGUCUUCUAAACUCUCUUGUGCAACUGGCUCAGAAGAGCCACGCUAUGCAGAAGGUGAAGCAACUUGCUCUAUAGUAGUUGCACUGGGUGAUGCAACAUUCGCAUUAGGGAUUUCAUUUUCAAUCGAUACAAUUGUUAGUGGAACCUCAACGAGUAUUGAGAAAGUAUGGUUCUUCAACCAUUGGAAUCAGGACAUACGUCCUCUUUUCCAGAAGGUCAACCUCUUUGAGUACCUUACUCGAUCAUGUUAACCUCUAGAAAAAUGGCAUGUCUAGUUUCUAUGAACUUGGUUUGUCUGCCUAGACAAUAGAAUCUAUAACCCUUCGAUCUCUCAAGGUAACCAAUAAAAUGACAACUAGUGGUUCUCUCAUCUUGCUUUCCCUGUCUAGGAUUAAAUAUUAUAGCUUCUGCUGUACAACCCCAUAUAUGGAGAUAUUUGAGUGUGGGCUUUCUGCCAGUCUACAGCGCAUGUGGAGUUUUGGGUAUUGACUUACUAGGGACUUUGUUGAGUAUAUGGAUAGUGGGUUUUAAGGCCUCCAUCCACAGACCCAAUGGCAAGCUGGAGUAACUAAUCAUACUCCUUACCAUAUCCAUUAGUGCUUUGUUUCGUCUUUCAGCUGCCCCAUUCUAUUGUGGUUCACCAGGUGAUUUUAUUUUUGAUGAGGAACAUUUCCCAGCAUUAGGGGGAGACUUUAAGUACCAAAAGGAAUGCAUGGAAAUAAAUUGGAAUACUUAAGGUGUACCAAUCCAAGUACUACAGAAACUGAACUACAAGUUUACAAGAUCAUACAUUUGUAGAGACUUGCAAAUGAACUGCUAGAUGCAUUCACUAACUAUAAUGGUGUCACAAAAUCUUUCAUUCCUGCUAGGAAUGCACUAGAAAUAGUGGAAGUACCGAAUAAAACCACUAAACUCCCAAAGAGAAGUAUGGUGACUAAGCGCUAUUCUAUUGCUAAGAAGCAAAGAAAACUAGUGAAUACACUAUAUCAAGUGGAUUGUGAUGAUCCGCAACCUAGCUCAGAUGUUGAUAGUCGCCUAGAGGGGGGGUGAAUAGGGCGAAACUGAAAUUUACAAAAUUAAUCACAACUACAAGUCGGGUUAGCGUUAGAAACAAUAAUGAGUCCGAGAGAGAGGGGGCAAAACAAAUCGCAAGCGAAUGAAUAGUGUGACACGCGGAUUUGUUUUACCGAGGUUCGGUUCUCGCAAACCUACUCCCCGUUGAGGAGACCACAAAGGUCGGGUCUCUUUCAACCCUUACCCUCUCUCAAACGGUCUCGCGGACCGAGUGAGCUUCUCUUCUCAAAUCAAAACCGGGAACAAAGCUUCCCUGCAAGGACCACCACACAUUCGGUGUCUCUUGCCUUGAUUACAAGUGAGCUUUGAUCACAAGAACAAGUGAGAAAGAAAAGAAGCAAUCCAAGCGCAAGAGCUCAAAAGAACACGACAAAUCUCUCUCGCUAAUCACUAAAGCCUUGUGUGGAAUUAGAGAGGAUUUGAUCACUUGAGUGUGUCUAGAAUUGAAUGCCUAGCUCUUGUAAGUGGUUGAGAAGUGGAAAACUUGGAUGCAAUGAAUGGUGGGUGGUUGGGGGUAUUUAUAGCCCCAACCACCAAACUAGCCGUUUGGUGGGGCUGACUGUCGUAUGGUGCACCGGACAGUCCGGUGCGCCAGCCACGUCACCAAUGCCGUUGGGUUUCGACCGUUGGAGCUCUGACUUCUGGGCCCGCCUGGAUGUCCGGUGGCGCACCAGACAUGUACUGUAGAGUGUCCGGUGCACCAGCAUGGGCGUACCUGCCUUCUGCGCGUGCUGGCGCGCAUUCAAUGCGCUGUAGGUAGCCGUUGGCGCCGAAAUAUACGUUGCACCGUUGUUACACCGGACAGUCCGGUGCACACCGGACAUGUCCGGUGAAUUAUAGCGGAGCGAAUUCCCGAAGCUGGCGAGUUCCUGAGACGCCCUUCCUUGGAGCACCGGACACUGUCCGGUGUACACCGGACAGUCCGGUGAAUUAUAGCGAAGCGCCUCUGGAUUUUCCCGAAGGUGACGAGUUCGGCUUGGAGUCCUCUGGUGCACCGGACACUGUCCGGUGGCACACCGGACAGUCCGGUGCGCCAGACCAGAGGUACCUUCGGUUGCCCCUUUGCUCUUUUGUCGAACCCAAUUCUUGGUCUUUUUAUUGGCUAAGUGUGAACCUUUGACACCUGUAUAACUUAUACACUAGAGCAAACUAGUUAGUCCAAUUAUUUGUGUUGGGCAUUUCAAUCACCAAAAUCAUUUAGGAAAUAGGUGUAAGCCUAAUUCCCUUUCAAUCCCCCCCUUUUUGGUGAUUGAUGCCAACACAAACCAAAGCAAAUAUGGAAGUGCAUAAUUGAACUAGCUUGCAUAAUGUAAGUGCAAAAGGUUGCUUGGAAUUGAGCCAAUAUAAAUACUUAAAAGAUAUGCAUGGAUUGUUUCUUUCAAUUUUUGACAUUUUGGACCAAGCUUUGCACCACAUGUUUUGUUUUUGCAAAUUCUUUUGUAAAUCCUUUUCAAAGUUCUUUUGCAAAUAGUCAAAGGUAAAUGAAUAAGAUCUCGAGAAGCAUUUUCAAGAUUUGAAAUUCUCCCCCUGUUUCAAAUGCUUUUCCUUUGACUUAAACAAAACUCCCCCUAAAUGAAAUCCUCCUCUUAGUGUUCAAGAGGGUUUUGAGAUAUCAAUUUUGAAAUACUACUUUCUCCCUCUUUUGAACACAAUAGGGUACCAAUUUGAAAUUUCCAAUUGAAAACAUUUUUAAAAGUAGGUGGUGGGGCUUUUGCUUUGGGCUCUUACUCUCUCCCCCUUUGGCAUGAAUCGCCAAAAACGGAAUCAUUAGAGCCCUUAGAAUUACUUUCUCCCCCUUUGAUCAUAAAUAAAUGAGUAAAGAUUAUACCAAAGACGGAGUCCUUUUGCUUGGGACUUAUGCUCUCUCCUCCAAAGAUGGAGAGUUGCCCGGAGCGACGACGAAGGAUGAGUUACGGAGUGGAAGCCUUUGUCUUCGCCGAAGACUCUGAUAGUCGCCUAGAGGGGGGGUGAAUAGGGCGAAACUGAAAUUUACAAAAAUAAUCACAACUACAAGCCGGGGUUAGCGUUAGUAAUUAUAAAUGAGUCCGCAAGAGAGGGCGCAAAGCAAAUCGCAAGCAAAUAAAGAGAGUGACACGUGGAUUUGUUUUACCGAGGUUCGGUUCUUGCAAACCUACUCCCCGUUGAGGAGGCCACAAAGGCCGGGUCUCUUUCAACCCUUCCCUCUCUCAAACGGUCCCUCGGACCGAGUGAGCUUUCCUUCUUCUCAAUCAACCGGGAACAAAACUUCCCCGCAAGGGCCACCACACAAUCGGUGCCUCUUGCCUCGGUUACAAUUGAGUAUUGAUCACAAGAGCAAAAGAGAAAGAAAGAAAGCGAUCCAAGCGCAAGAGCUCAAAUGAACACGGCAAAUCACUCUCUCUAGUCACUAGGGUUUUGUGUGGAAUUGGAGAGGAUUUGAUCUCUUUGAAUGUGUCUAGAAUUGAAUGCCUAGCUCUUGUAAAGGUUGAGAAGUGGGAAAUCUUGGAUGGCUAUGAAUGUGGGGUGGUUGGGGUAUUUAUAGCCCCAACCACCAAAUGUGGCCGUUGGGGAGCCAGUCUGCUCGAUGGCGCACCGGACAGUCCGGUGCACACCGGACAUGUCCGGUGCCCCUGCCACGUCAUCAGUGCCGUUGGAAUCUGACCGUUGGAGUUCUGACUUGUGGGCCACCCUUGAUGUCCGGUGGCGCACCGGACACCUCCUGUUCAUUGUCCGGUGCGCCAGUAUGGGCAAACCUGACGUCUGCGCGCGCUGCGGCACAUUUAAUGCCUCUGCAGGUAGCCGUUGGCGCGGGAUAGCCGUUGCGCUGGAGUCACACCGGACAGUCCGGUGCACACCGGACAUGUCCGGUGAAUUAUAGCGGACGAGCCGUUGGCUUUUCCCGAAGCCAAAGAGUUCCUGGGGCCGCUUCUCCAUGGCGCACCGGACACUGUCCGGUGUACACCGGACAGUCCGGUGAAUUAUAGCGCGAGAGCCCCUGGAAAUUCCCGAAGGUGGCGAGUUCGAGCUGGAGUCCCCUGGUGCACCGGACACUGUCCGGUGGUGCACCGGACACUGUCCGGUGGCACACCGGACAGUCCGGUGCGCCCAGACCAGAGGGCCUACGGUUGGCUCUUUGCCCUUUUUGUUGAACCCAACACUUGGUCAUUUUAUUGGCUAUGUUGUGAACCUUUGACACCUGUAUAACUUAUACACUAGAACAAACUAGUUAGUCCAAAGAUUUGUGUUGGGCAAUUCAACCACCAAAAUUAUAUAGGAACUAAGUGUAAGCCUAAUUCCCUUUCAGACUCCAAUUCGCUUUCAAUAUACCUAUGACUUGGUUUGAAAUAGACUUGAAAACACAUUAGUCAUAGCAUAUGAGAGAGACAUGAUCAAAGGUAUAUAAAUGAGUUAUGUGUGCAAAUCAACAAAAGAAGUUCCUAGAAUCAAGAAUAUUUAGCUCAUGCCUAAGUUUGUUAAAAGUUUGUUCAUCAAGUGGCUUGGUAAAGAUAUCGGCUAAUUGAUCUUUAGUAUUAAUGUAAGAAAUCUCGAUAUCUCCCUUUUGUUGGUGAUCCCUUAAAAAGUGAUACCGAAUGACUAUGUGUUUAGUGCGGCUAUGUUUGACGGGAUUAUUCGCCAUUUUGAUUGCACUCUCAUUAUCACAUAGAAGAGGAACUUUGGUUAAUUUGUAACCGUAGUCCCUAAGGGUUUGCCUCAUCCAAAGUAGUUGCGCGCAACAAUGUCCUGCGGCAAUGUACUCGGCUUCGGCGGUAGAAAGAGCAACGGAAUUUUGCUUCUUUGAAGCCUAAGACACCAAGGAUCUUCCCAAGAACUGGCAAGUCCCCGAAGUGCUCUUCCUAUUGAUUUUACACCCCGCCCAAUCGACAUCCGAAUAACCAAUCAAAUCAAAUGUGGAUCCCCUAGGAUACCAAAGCCCAAACUUAGGAGUAUAAACUAAAUAUCUCAAGAUUCGUUUUACGGCCUUAAGGUGAGCUUCCUUAGGGUCGACUUGGAAUCUUGCACACAUGCAUACGGAAAGUAUAAUAUCCGGUCGAGAUGCACAUAAAUAUAGCAAAGAACCAAUCAUCGACCGGUAUACCUUUUGAUCAACGGAUUUACCUCCUUCGUCGAGGUCGAGAUGCCCAUUGGUUCCCAUGGGUGUCUUGAUGGGUUUGGCAUCCUUCAUCCCGAACUUGCUUAGAAUGUCUUGAGUAUACUUCGUUUGGCUAAGGAAGGUGCCCUCUUGGAGUUGCUUCACUUGAAAUCCUAAGAAAUACUUCAACUCCCCCAUCAUUAACAUCUCGAAUUUUUGUGUCAUGAUCCUACUAAAUUCUUCACAUGUAGACUCGUUAGUAGACCCAAAUAUAAUAUCAUCAACAUAAAUUUGGCAUACAAACAAGUCAUUCUCAAGAGUUUUAGUAAAUAGAGUAGGAUCGACCUUUCCGACUUUGAAGCCAUUAUCUAAAAGAAAAUCCCUAAGGCAUUCAUACCAUGCUCUUGGGGCUUGCUUGAGCCCAUAAAGCGCCUUAGAGAGUUUAUAAACAUGGUUAGGGUACUCACUAUCUUCAAAGCCGGGAGGUUGCUCAACAUAGACCUCUUCCUUGAUUGGUCCAUUGAGGAAGGCACUUUUCACGUCCAUUUGAUAAAGCUUAAAGCCAUGGUAAGUAGCAUAGGCUAAUAAUAUGCGAAUGGACUCAAGCCUAGCUACGGGUGCAUAGGUUUCACCGAAAUCCAAACCUUCGACUUGGGAGUAUCCUUUGGCCACAAGUCGAGCUUUGUUCCUUGUCACCAUACCAUGCUCGUCUUGUUUGUUGCGGAAGACCCAUUUGGUUCCUACAACAUUUUGAUUAGGACGUGAAACUAAUUGCCACACCUCAUUCCUAGUGAAGUUGUUGAGCUCCUCUUGCAUCGCCACCACCCAAUCCGAAUCUUGGAGUGCUUCCUCUACCCUGUGUGGCUCAAUAGAGGAAACAAAAGAGUAAUGUUCACAAAAAUGUGCAACACGAGAUCUAGUGGUUACCCCCUUAUGAAUGUCGCCGAGGAUGGUGUCGACGGGGUGAUCUCGUUGGAUUGCUUGGUGGACUCUUGGGUGUGGCGAUCUUUGUUCUUCAUCCUCCUUGUCUUAAUCAUUUGCAUCUCCCCCUUGAUCAUUGUCGUCAUCUUGGGGUGGCUCAUUUGCUAGAUCUUCUACUUCAUCAUCUUGAGCUUCAUCCUCAUUUUGAGUUGGUGGAGAUGCUUGCGUGGAGGAGGAUGGUUGAUCUUGUGCAUUUGGAGACUCUUUGGAUUCCUUAGGACACACAUCCCCAAUGGACAUGUUCCUUAGCGCGAUGCACGGAGCCUCUUCAUCAUCUAUCUCAUCAAGAUCAACUUGCUCUACUUGAGAGCCGUUAGUUUCAUCAAACACAACGUCACAAGAAACUUCAACUAGUUCCGAGGACUUGUUAAAGACUCUAUAUGCCCUUGUGUUUGAAUCAUAUCCUAGUAAAAAGCCUUCUACAGUUUUAGGAGCAAAUUUAGAUUUUCUACCUCUUUUGAUAAGAAUAAAGCAUUUGCUACCAAAAACUCUAAAAUAUGAAAUAUUGAGCUUUUUACCGGUUAGGAGUUCAUAGGAUGUCUUCUUGAGGAUUCGGUGUAGAUAUAACCGGUCGAUAGCGUAACAAGCGGUGUUAACCGCCUCGGCCCAAAACCGAUCCGGUGUCUUGUACUCAUCAAGCAUGGUCCUUGCCUUGUCCAAUAGAGUUCGAUUCUUCCUCUCCACUACACCAUUUUGUUGUGGCGUGUAGAGAGAAGAGAACUCAUGCUUGAUGCCCUCCUCCUCAAGGAAGCCUUCGAUUUGAGAGUUCUUGAACUCCGUCCCAUUGUCGCUUCUAAUUUUCUUGAUCCUUAAGCCCAACUCAUUUUGAGCCCGUCUCAAGAAUCCCUUUAAGGUCUCUUGGGUUUGAGAUUUUUCCUGCAAAAAGAAUACCCAAGUGAAGCGAGAAUAAUCAUCCACUAUUACAAGACAAUACUUACUCCCGCCGAUGCUUAUGUAAGCAAUCGGGCCGAAUAGAUCCAUGUGGAGUAGCUCAAGUGGCCUGUCGUUCGUCAUGAUGUUCUUGUGUGGAUGAUGGGCACCAACUUGCUUCCCUGCUUGGCAUGCGCUACAAAUCCUGUCUUUCUCAAAAUGAACAUUUGUUAAUCCUAAAAUGUGCUCUCCCUUUAGAAGCUUGUGAAGAUUCUUCAUCCCAACAUGUGCUAGUCGGCGGUGCCAGAGCCAGCACAUGUUAGUCUUAGCAAUUAAUUAAGUGUCGAGUUCAGCUCUAUCAAAAUCUACCAAGUACAGCUGACCCUCCAACACUCCCUUAAAUGCUAUUGAAUCAUCACUUCUUCUAAAGACAGUGACACCUGCAUCAGUGAAAAGACAGUUGUAACCCAUUUUGCAUAAUUGAGAUACAGAAAGCAAAUUGUAAUCUAAUGAAUCUACAAGAAAAACAUUGGAAAUAGAAUGGUCAGGAGAUAUAGCAAUUUUACCCAAUCCUUUGACCAAACCUUGGUUUCCAUCCCCGAAUGUGAUAGCUCUUUGGGGAUCUUGGUUUUUCUCGUAGGAGGAGAACAUCUUCUUCUCCCCUGUCAUGUGGUUUGUGCACCCGCUGUCGAUAAUCCAACUUGAGCCCCCGGAUGCAUAAACCUACAAAACAUGUUUAGUUUUUGACUUUAGGUACCCAAAUGGUUUUGGGUCCUUUGGCAUUAGAUACAAGAACUUUGGGUACCCAAACACAAGUCUUAGAUCCCUUGUGCUUGCCCCCAACAUAUUUGGCAACUACUUUGCUGGAUUUGUUAGUCAACACAUAAGAUGCAUCAAAGGUUUUAAAUAAAAAGCUAUGUUCAUUUGAUGCACUAGGAGUUUUCUUCUUAGGCAACUUAGCACGGGUUGGUUGCCUAGAGCUAGAUGUCUCACCCUUAUACAUAAAAGCAUGAUUAGGGCCAGAGUGAGACUUCCUAGAGUGAAUUCUCCUAAUCUUGCUCUCGGGAUAACCGGCAGGGUACAAAAUGUAACCCUCGUUAUCCUGAGGCAUGGGAGCCUUGCCCUUAACAAAAUUAGACAAUCUUUUAGGAGGGACAUUAAUUUUGACAUUGUCUCCCUUUUGGAAGCCAAUGUCAUCCUUGAUGCCAGAGCGUCUCCCAUUAUAAAGCAUACUACGAGCAAAUUUAAAUUUUUCAUUCUCUAAGUUGUGCUCAGCAGUUUUAGCAUCUAAUUUUGCUAUAUGAUCAUUUUGUUGUUUAAUUAAAGACAUGUGAUCAUGAAUAUCAUUAAUAUCAACAUCUCUACAUCUAGUACAAAUAGAUACAUGCUCAACGAUAGAUGCAGAGGGUUUGCAAGAUUUUAAUUCUACAACCUUAGCAUGUAAUAUAUCAUUUUCACUUCUAAGGUUAGAAAUAGUAACAUUGCAAACAUCAAAAUCUUUAGCCUUAGCAAGCAAUUUCUCAUUUUCAAUUCUAAGGCUAGCAAGGGAAACAUUCAACUCAUCAAUCCUAGCAAGUAAAUCAACAUUAUCAUCUCUAGGAUUGGAAGUUGAAACGUUACAAACAUGAGAAUCAACCUUAGCUAACAAAUUAGCAUUUUCAUUUCUAAGGUUGUCAAUAGUUUCAUGGCAAGAACUUAGCUCACUAGAAAGUUUUUCACAUUUUUCUACUUCUAGAGCGUAAGCAUUUUUGACCUUAACAUGUUUCUUAUUUUCUUUAAUAAGGAAGUCCUCUUGGGUGUCCAAGAGAUCAUCCUUCUCAUGAAUAGCACUAACCAAUUCAUUAAGUUUCUCUUUUUGUUGCAUGUUGAGGUUGGCAAAAAGAGUGCGUAAGUUAUCUUCCUUAUCACUAGCAUUUUCAUCACUAGAAGACUCAUAUCUAGUGGAGGAUUUAGAUUUAACCUUCUUCUUUUUGCCGUCCUUUGCCAUGAGGCACUUGUGGCCGACGUUGGGGAAGAGGAGUCCCUUGGUGAUGACGAUGUUGGCGGCGUCCUCUUCGUCGGAGGAGUCGGUGGAGCUCUCGUCGGAGUCCCACUCGCGGCAUACGUGGGCAUCGCCGCCCCUCUUCUUGUGGUACCUCUUCUUCUCUCUCCUCUUGCCCUUCUUGUCGUUAUCCCUGUCACUGUCACUUGAUAAUGGACAUUUAGCAAUAAAGUGACCGGGCUUACCACACUUGUAGCAAACCUUCUUGGAACGGGAUUUGUAAUCCUUCCCUUCCGUUGCUUGAGGAUUUGGCGAAAGCUUUUGAUGAUUAAAGCCAUCUCCUCGUUGUCGAGCUUUGAAGCGUCGAUUGGUUGUCUACUUGGUGUAGACUCCUCCUUCUUCUCCUCCGUCGCCUUGAAUGCCACCGGUUGUGCUUCGGAUGUGGAGGGAUCAUCAAGCUCGUUGAUCUUCUUUGAGCCCUUGAUCAUACAUUCAAAGCUCACAAAGUUCCCGAUAACUUCCUCGGGAGUCAUUAGCGUGUAUCUAGGAUUACCACGAAUUAAUUGAACUUGAGUGGGGUUAAGGAAGAUGAGUGAUCUAAGAAUAACCUUAACCACCUCGUGGUCAUCCCAUUUCUUGCUCCUGAGGUUGCGCACUUGGUUCACCAAGGUUUUGAGCCGGUUGUACAUAUCUUGUGGCUCCUCCCCUUGGCGAAGACGGAAGCGACCGAGCUCCCCCUCGAUCGUUUCCCGCUUGGUGAUCUUGGUGAGUUCAUCACCCUCGUGCGCGGUCUUGAGUAGAUCCCAAAUCUCCUUCGCAUUCUUCAACCCUUGCACCUUGUUAUAUUCCUCUCUACUUAGAGAGGCGAGGAGUAUGGUUGUGGCUUGGGAGUUGAAGUGCUCGAUUUGGGCUACUUCAUCCUCAUCAUAGUUUUCAUCCCCUACGGAUGGUACCUGUGCACCAAACUCAACAACAUCCCAUAUACUUUUGUGGAGCGAGGUUAGAUGAAAUCGCAUUAAAUCACUCCACCUAGCGUAAUCUUCACCAUCAAAAGUUGGUGGUUUGCCUAAUGGGACGAAAGUAAAGGUGUAUGUUUAGAGAUGCGAGGGUAGCAUAGGGGAAUCUUACUAUACUUCUUACGCUCUUGGCGCUUAGAAGUGAUGGACGCCGCGUCAGAGCCGGAGGUGGAUGCCGAUGAAGAAUCGGUCUCGUAGUAGACCACCUUCCUCAUCCUCUUUUUCUUGUCCCCACUCCGAUGCGGCUUGUGGGAAGAGGAUUUCUCCUUCUUCUCUUUGUGGUGUGAAGAAGAUCUCUUCUCCUUCCUUUUGGAGGAGUCCUUCUUUUUCUCCUUCCUCUUGGUGCGGGACUCUUCCGAUGAAGUGCUCCCGUGGCUUGUAGUGGGCUUUUCGCCGGUCUCCAUCUCCUUCUUGGCGUGAUCUUCCGACAUCACUUCGAGCGAUUAGGCUCUAAUGAAGCACCGGGCUUUGAUACCAAUUGAUAGUCGCCUAGAGGGGGGUGAAUAGGGAGAAACUGAAAUUUACAAAAUUAAUCACAACUACAAGUCGGGUUAGCGUUAGAAACAAUAAUGAGUCCGAGAGAGAGGGGGCAAAACAAAUCGCAAGCGAAUGAAGAGUGUGACACGCGGAUUUGUUUUACCGAGGUUCGGUUCUUGCAAACCUACUCCCCGUUGAGGAGGCCACAAAGGCCGGGUCUCUUUCAACCCUUACCCUCUCUCAAACGGUCCCGCGGACCGAGUGAGCUUCUCUUCUCAAAUCAAAACCGGGAACAAAGCUUCCCCGCAAGGACCACCACACAUUCGGUGUCUCUUGCCUUGAUUACAAGUGAGCUUUGAUCACAAGAACAAGUGAGAAAGAAAAGAAGCAAUCCAAGCGCAAGAGCUCAAAAGAACACGGCAAAUCUCUCUCGCUAAUCACUAAAGCCUUGUGUGGAAUUGGAGAGGAUUUGAUCACUUGAGUGUGUCUAGAAUUGAAUGCCUAGCUCUUGUAAGUGGUUGAGAAGUGGAAAACUUGGAUGCAAUGAAUGGUGGGUGGUUGGGGGUAUUUAUAGCCCCAACCACCAAACUAGCCGUUUGGUGGGGCUGACUGUCGUAUGGUGCACCGGACAGUCCGGUGCACACCGGACAUGUCCGGUGCGCCAGCCACGUCACCAAUGCCAUUGGGUUCCGACCGUUGGAGCUCUGACUUCUGGGCCCGCCUGGAUGUCCGGUGGCGCACCGGACAUGUACUGUAGAGUGUCCGGUGCGCUAGCAUGGGCGUGCCUGCCUUCUGCGUGUGCUGGCGCGCAUUCAAUGCGCUGCAGGUAGCCGUUGGCGCCGAAAUAUCCGUUGCACCGUUGUUACACCGGACAGUCCGGUGCACACCGGACAUGUCCGGUGAAUUAUAGCGGAGCGAAUUCCCGAAGCUGGCGAGUUCCUGAGACGCCCUUCCUUGGAGCACCGGAAGCGUAGCGCCUCUGGAUUUUCCCGAAGGUGACGAGUUCGGCUUGGAGUCCUCUGGUGCACCGGACACUGUCCGGUGGCACACCGGACAGUCCGGUGCGCCAGACCAGAGUUGCCUUCGGUUGCCCCUUUGCUCUUUUGUUGAACCCAAUUCUUGGUCUUUUUAUUGGCUAAGUGUGAACCUUUGACACCUGUAUAACUUAUACACUAGAGCAAACUAGUUAGUCCAAUUAUUUGUGUUGGGCAUUUCAAUCACCAAAAUCAUUUAGGAAAUAGGUGUAAGCCUAAUUCCCUUUCAGAUGUGCACGUUGCCAAGGCUGGGACAUCGAAAAACCCUACACACAUCAAUUUGUGAAAUCUUGAUGAGUUUUUAAAGGGAUAUGAAAUUGCCAUCAACUAUGUUGAUACUAGUGAAACCUAUGAUAGAAAAGCUAUCAUUGUCGACUUAUAUUUCUCCGAGAAAAUUGUUGAGGACCUUCAGUAUGAUCUAGAUCCUAAGACCAUGGUAGAGUGCAAGAAGCGCUCAGAUUGGAUCAAGUGGAAAGAUGCAAUUGAAGCGGAGUUAGCCUCGCUUUACAAAAGAGAAGUUUUCUUGACUGUAAUGCCUACACCAAAUGGUAUCUUCCCUCUAGGAUACAAGUGGGUUUUCAUUCAGAAACAAAAAUAAAAAUGGUGAGGUAGUGAGAUACAAAGCAAUGGUAGUAGUGCAAGGGUUUACACAAAUAAUUGACGUUGAUUUCAAUGAAACUUAUUCACCAGUUUUGAGUGCAAUAACUUUCCGAUAUUUAAUAUCAUUGGUAGUACAAAAUCGUUUAUCUAUUUAGUUGAUGGACGUAGUGACUGCAUAUCUCUAUGGGUCACUGGAUUCUGAUAUAUAGAUGAAAGUUCUAGGUGGAAUAGAUGUACCAGAUCCAAAGACAAAUCGCAAUAUGUAUUGCGUAAAGUUGCAGAAGUCAUUGUAUGGCUUAAAACAAUCGGGCAGAAUGUGGUACAACCGAUUGAGUGAAUUCCUUCUACGGAAGGGAUACACGAAAAAUGAUGAUUGCUCAUGUGUCUUCACCAAAAGAUCUAAAGUAGGAUAUUGUAUCAUAUCAAUUUAUGUUGAUGAUCUUAACAUCAUAGAAAAUAAACUUGAUAUUGAUAAAGUGCGUCAUCAUUUGACGAUGGAAUUUGAGAUGAAGGAUUUAGGUAAAACCAAAUUUUGCUUAGGUCUUCAACUUGAGAAUUUACCUUCUGGAAUCCUUGUACAUCAAAGUACAUAUACCCAAAAGAUAUUGGAAAAAUUCAAUAUGAAUAUGUCUUAUCCUUCAGACUCCUAUGGUGGUCAGAUCUCUAGACUUAGAGAAAGAUCCAUUCAGACCAAGGGAUGAUGAAGAGAAGAUAUUGGGACCCGAUUUCCCAUAUCUUAGUUUCGUUGGUGCAUUAAUGUACCUUGCUAACAAUACCUGGCCUCAUAUUGCUUUUGCAGCAAAUUUGUUAGCAAGAUACAACUCUGCUCCUACCAAACGCUAUUGGGUUGGAGUUAAGAAUAUUUUUUGAUAUCUAAAUGGCACAAAGGAUCUUGGACUCUUUACAAAAGGAAUGAUAAUCAUAGUUUAAUUGGGUAUACUGAUGUUGGUAAUUUAUCUGAUCCUCACAAUGGCAAAUCACAAACAUGAUUCAUCUUUUUACAAGGUGGAACUGCUAUUUCGUGUAAGUCUUCUAAACUGACUUUGGUGACCACAUCCACUAACCAUUCUGAAAUAAUUGCAUUAUUUGAAGCAUCGCGUGAGUGUGUAUGGCUUCGUAGAAUGGUAAACCAUAUACUCAUAAUAUGUGGUAUUGCUUCAAUUGAAUCACCGACUAUUAUCUAUGAGGAUAAUUCAGCUUGUGUUGUUCACAUGGAAACAGGUUAUAUCAAGAGCAACAUUAAUAAACAUAUUGCUCCUAAACUGUUUUAUCCCCAUCAACUUCAUGGGGAUAUAAAAAUCUUGCAGACAAAGUCUUGUGAUAUUCUUGCUGAUUUAAUCACAAAAUCUCUAUCAUACUUCACGUCUCAUAAAUGUGUUGAGAGGAUUAGUAUGAGAAGACUUAAAGGCUUGCAAGUAUGAGUGGGAGUAAUUCUCCGUGAUGUUUAACCUGUUUUGGGCCUGAAAGGGAAAUAGGGUCAAACCUUUUCCUAAAUAAUUUUGGUGGUUGAAUUGCCCAACACAAAUUAUUGGACUAACUAGUUUGCUCUAGAUUAUAAGUUCUACAGGUGCCAAAGGUUCAACACAAACCAAUAAAAAGUCUAAGAAAGGGUUCAAAUAAAAAGAGCAAAAUACAACCGAAGGCUGCCCUGGUCUGGCGCACCGGACAGUGUCCGGUGCACCAGGGUGAAUCCACUCGAACUGCUCAGCUUUGGGUUUCUGAAAAUGGCUCUCCGCUAUAAUUCACCGGACUGUCCGGUGUGGCACCGGACUGUCCGGUGUGCCAAGCGGAGUAACGGCUACAGCGCCAACGGUCGUCUGCAAAAGGUAAACAGUGAGCUACAGUGCGUGGAGAGCGUGCACAGAAGUCAGAGCAGGCGCAGAUGGCGCACCAGACAGUGAACAGGACCUGUCCGGUGCACCACUGGACUGUCCGGUGCACCACUGGACUGUCCGGUGGCCCACAUGUCAGAAGCUCCAACGGUCGAACCCUAACGGUUGGGUGACGUGGCUGGCACACCAGCAGUGUCCGGUGGUGCACCGGACUGUCCGGUGCGCCCGUCGACAGCAUAGUUCCCCAACGGCCAUUUUGGUGGUUGGGGCUAUAAAUACCCCCCAACCACCACUCUUCAAGGCACCCAAGCAUUCACUACUCCUCAUUCAAUACAAGAGCAAUACACAACACUCCAAGACACAAAUCAAAGCCUCCGAUCAAAUCAAAGUCCAUAAUUUAACUCUAGUUUUUAGGACUUGUGAGAAGAUCGACCUUUGUUCUUUUGUUGUUCUUGUUGCUUGGUUGGCUUUCUUCUUUCUCUCAUUCUUACUCUCAAAGCCUUGUAAGCAAAGCAAGAGACACCAAUUGUGUGGUGGUCCUUGCGGGGUCUAAGUGACCCGGGAAAUCAAGGAAGGAAGCUCACUCGGUCUAGGUGACCGUUUGAGAGAAGGAAAGGGUUGAAAGAGACCCGGUCUUUGUGACCACCUCAACGGGGAGUAGGUUUGCAAGAACCGAACCUCGGUAAAACAAAUCACUGUGUCAUCCGCUCUUAUUCGCUAGUGAUUUGUUUUCGCCCUCUCUUUCGGACUCGAUUAUAUUUCUAACGCUAACCCCGGCUUGUAGUGGUGCUUAAUAUUUAUAAAUUUCAGAUUUGCCUAUUCACCCCCCUCUAGGCGACUUUCAAUUGGUAUCAAAGCCCGUUACUUCAUUAGAGCCUAACCGAUCGAAGUUAUGUCGGGAACUCACGCCAAGAAGGAGAUGGUGACCGGCGAGAAGCCCACCACAAGCCACGGGAAAGCUCCAUCGGGAGAGUCCGGCAACAAGAAGAGGGAGGAAUCACCUCCCCGCGUCAAGUCGCACCGGAGUGGCGACAAGAAAAAGAAAAUGAAGAAAGUGGUCUACUACAAGACCGAUUCUUCGUCGCCUUCCACCUCCGGCUCCGACACACCGUCCGUCACUUCUAAGCGCCAUGAGCGCAAGAAGUUUAGUAAGAUCCCCUUACGUUAUCCUCGCAUUUCCAAACGCACUCCUUUACUUUCCGUCCCACUAGGCAAACCACCGGUGUUUAACGGUGAAGAUUAUUGUAUGUGGAGUGAUAAAAUGAGGCACCAUCCAACCUCACUCCACACUAGUAUUUGGGACAUUGUUGAAUUUGGUGCGCAGGAACCAUCCGUGGGGGAUGAAGGCUAUGAGUCGGACGAGGUAGCCCAAAUCCGGCAUUUCAACUCCCAAGCCACCACUAUACUCCUCGCCUCUCUAAGUCGAGAGGAGUAUAAUAAGGUGCAAGGGUUGAAGAGUGCCAAAGAGAUUUGGGACAUGCUAAAGACUGCGCACAAAGGAGACGAGGUGACCAAGAUCACCAAGAGGGAAACGAUCGAGAGGGAGCUCGGUCGAUUCAUGCUUCACCAAGGAGAGGAACCACAAGCUAUGUACAACCGGCUCAAGACCUUGGUGAACCAAGUGCGCAACCUCGGGAGCACCAAAUGGGAUGACCAUGAAAUGGUUAAGGUUAUUCUUAGAUCACUCGUUUUUCUUAACCCUACUUAAGUUCAAUUAAUUCGUGGUGAUCCUAGAUAUAAACUAAUGUCUCUCGAGGAAGUGAUAGGAAAGUUUGUGAGCUUUAAAUUGAUGAUCAAAGGCUCUAAACAAAUCAUUGAGCGAGGCGCCACCUCCACACCCGAGGUGCAACCUGUCGCCUUCAAAGCGACGGAAGAGAAGAAGGAAGAAUCUACGCCAAGUAGGCUUCCCAUCGAUGCCUCCAAACUCGACAACGAGGAGAUGGCGUUAAUCAUCAAAAGCUUUCGCCAAAUCCUCAAGCAAAGGAGGGGGAAGGAUUACAAGCCCCGCUCCAAGAAAGUUUGCUACAAGUGUGGUAAGCCCGGUCAUUUUAUUGCAAAAUGUCCAUUAUCUAGUGAUAGUGACAGGGGCGACGACAAGAAGGGAAAGAGGAGGGAAAAGAAGAAAUAUUACAAGAAGAAGGGCGGCGAUGCCCAUGUUUGUCGGGAGUGGGACUCCGAUGAGAGCUCCACCGACUCCUCCUCUAACGAGGACGCCGCCAACAUCGCCGUUAACAAAGGUCUCCUCUUCCCCAACGUCGGCCACAAGUGCCUCAUGGCAAGGGACGACAAAAAGAAGGUAAAAUCUAGAGCCUCCACUAAAUAUGUGUCAUCUAGUGAUGAUGAUAACUCUAGUGAUGAUGAGGAUAAUUUGCUAGCUCUUUUUGCCAACCUCAACAUGCAACAAAAGGAGAAAUUAAAUGAAUUAAUUGGAGCCAUUCAUGAAAAGGAUGAACUCUUGGAUAGCCAAGAGGACUUCCUAAUUAAAGAAAAUAAAAAGCAUGUUAAGGUUAAAAAUGCUUAUGAUCAGGAAGGUAGUGAGCUAAGCACUUGCCAUGAUGUCAUCUCCAACCUUAGAAAUGAGAAGGCUAAAUUAAUUGCUAAGGUUGAGAAGUUAGAUAGUUGUGAUGAUUCAAUUGUUAGUCUUAGAAAUGAUAAUGCUAAUUUGAUUGCUAAGAUUGAUAAUUUGAAUGCAUCUCUCUCUAGCCUUAAAAUUGAGAAUGAAAAAUUAAUUGCUAAGGCUAAAGAUUUAAAUGUUUGCAGUGAUGUUAUUUCCAAUCUUAGAAAUGAAAAUGUCAUGUUACAUGCUAAGAUUGAUGAAUUAAAUGUUUGCAAACCCUCUACAUCUACCAUUGAGCAUGUUACUAUUUGUACUAGAUGUAGAGACAUUAAUGUUGAUGCUAUUCAUGAUCACCUUGCCUUGAUUAAACAACAAAAUGAUCACAUAGCUCAACUUAGUGCUAAGAUUAAUGAGCACGACUUAGAAAAUGAAAAAUUUAAAUUUGCUAGAAGCAUGCUCUAUAGUGGGAGACGUCCUGGGAUUAAGGAUGACAUUGGCUUCCAAAAGGGUGACAAUGUCAAGCUUAAUGCCUCUAAGAAAUUGUCUAAUUUUGUUAAGGGUAAGGCUCCCAUGGUUCAGGAUAACGAGGGUUACAUUUUAUACCCUGCCGGUUAUCCCGAACACAAAAUUAGGAGAAUUCAUUCUAGGAAGUCUCACACUGGCUCUCAUCAUGCUUUUAUGUAUAAGAGUGAGGCAUCUACCUCUAGGCAAUCAACACAUGUAAAAUUGCCUAAAAAGAAAUCUCCUAUUGCAUCAAAUGAGCCUAACAUUUCAUUUAAGACUUUUGAUGCUUCAUAUGUUUUAACUAAUAAAUCAGGCAAAGUAGUUGCCAAAUAUGUUGGUGUCGAACACAAGGGCUCAAAGACUUGUGUUUGGGUACCCAAGGUGCUUGUUUCUAAUGUGAAAGGACCCAAGACCGUUUGGGUACCUAAGAACAAGGCCUAAACUUGUUUUGUAGGUUUAUGCAUCCGGGGGCUCAAGUUCGAUAAUUGAUAGAGGGUGCACAAACCACAUGACUGGGGAGAAAAGGAUGUUCUCCUAUGAGAAAAAACAAUGUUCCCCAAAGAGUUAUCACAUUCGGGGAUGGAAAUUAAGGUUUGGUCAAAGGACUUGGUAAAAUUGCUACAUCACCUGACCAUUUUAUUUCCAAUGUUUUUCUUGUAGAUUUUUUAGAUUAUAACUUGCUUUUAGUUUCUCAAUUAUGUAAAAUGGGUUACAACUGUCUUUUUACGGAUAAAGGUGUUACUAUCUUUAGAAGAAGUGAUGAUUCAGUAGCAUUUAAGGGAGUGUUAGAGGGUCAGCUAUAAUUAGUUGAUUUUAAUAGAGCUGAACUCGACACUUGCUUAAUUGCUAAGACUAACAUGAGUUGGCUCUGGCAUCACCGACUAGCCCACGUUGGGAUGAAGAAUCUUCAUAAGCUUCUAAAGGGAGAGCACAUUUUGGGACUAACAAAUGUUCAUUUUGAGAAAGACAGGGUUUGUAGCGCAUGUCAAGCAGGAAAGCAAGUUGGUGUUCAUCAUCCACACAAGAACAUCAUGACGACUGACAGGUUGCUUGAGCUACUCCACACGGAUCUAUUCGGCCCGAUAGCUUACAUAAGCAUCAGCGGGAGUAAGUACUGUCUAGUUAUUGUGGAUGAUUAUUCUCGCUUCACUUGGGUGUUCUUUUUGCAGGAAAAAUCUCAAACCCAAGAGACGUUAAAGGGAUUCUUGAGACAGGCUCAAAAUAAGUUCGGCUUAAGGAUCAAAAAGAUUAGAAGCGACAACGGGACAGAGUUGAAGAACUCACAAAUAGAAGGCUUCCUUGAGGAUGAGGGCAUCAAGCAUGAGUUCUCUUCUCCCUACACGCCACAACAAAAUGGUGUAGUGGAGAGGAAGAAUAGAACUCUACUUGACAUGGCGAGGACCAUGCUUGAUGAGUACAAGACUUCAGACCGGAUUUGGGCGGAAGCAAUCAACACCACUUGCUACGCCAUCAACCGACUGUAUCUUCACCGAAUCCUCAAGAAGACAUCAUAUGAACUCCUAACCGGUAAAAAGCCCAAUGUUUCAUAUUUUAGAGUCUUUGGUAGCAAAUGCUUUAUUCUUGUUAAAAGAGGUAGAAAAUCUAAAUUUGCUCCUAAGGCUGUAGAAGGCUUUUUACUUGGUUAUGACUCAAACACAAGGGCAUAUAGAGUCUUUACCAAGUCCACUAGACUAGUUGAAGUUUCUUGUGACAUUGUGUUUGAUGAGACUAACGGCUCUCAAGUAGAGCAAGUUGAUCUUGAUGAGUUAGAUGAUGAAGAGGCUCCAUGUGUCGUGCUAAGGAACAUGUCCAUUGGGGAUGUGUGUCCUAAAGAAUCCGAAGAGCCUCCACAUGCACAAGAUCAACCAUCUUCCUCCAUGCAAGCAUCUCCACCAAAUCAAGAUGAGGAUCAAGCUCAAGAUGAUGAAAAUGAAGAUCAAGAGGAGCCACCUCAAGAGGAGGACAAUGAUAAAGGGGGAGAUGCUAAUGAUCAAGACAAGGAAGAUGAUCAGGGUCCAAGACCACCACACCCAAGAGUCCAUCAAGCAAUACAACGAGAUCACCCCGUGAACUCCAUCCUCAGCGAUAUUCAUAAGGGGGUAACCACUCGAUCUCGUGUUGUUCAUUUUUGUGAACAUUACUCUUUUGUGUCUUCUAUUGAGCCAUACAGGGUGGAAGAUGCAUUAUGGGAUUCGAAUUGGGUGUUGGCAAUGCAAGAGGAACUCAACAACUUCACGAGGAAUGAGGUAUGACAUUUAGUUCCACGUCCUAACCAAAAUGUUGUAGGAACCAAGUGGGUCUUCCGCAACAAGCAAGAUGAGCAUGGUGUGGUGACAAGGAACAAAGCCCAACUUGUGGCCAAGGGAUAUUCACAAGUCGAAGGUUUGGACUUCGGUGAAAUCUAUGCACCCGUAGCUAGGCUUGAGUCAAUUCUUAUAUUACUUGCCUAUGCUACUUACCAUGGCUUUAAGCUCUACCAAAUGGACGUGAAAAGUGCCUUCCUAAAUGGACCAAUCAAGGAGGAGGUCUAUGUUGAGCAACCUCCCGACUUUGAAGAUAGUGAGUACCCUAACCAUGUUUAUAAACUCUCUAAGGCGCUUUAUGGGCUCAAACAAGCCCCAAGAGCAUGGUAUGAAUGCCUAAGAGCUUUUCUUAUCGCUAAUGGCUUCAAAGCCGGAAAAGCCGAUCCUACUCUCUUUACUAAAACAAUUGCAAAUGAUUUGUUUGUAUGCCAAAUUAAUGUUGAUGAUAUCAUAUUUGGGUGUACUAACAAAUCUAUAUAUGAAGAGUUUAGUAGGAUCAUGGUACAUAAAUUCGAGAUGUCUAUGAUGGGGGAGUUGAAGUAUUUCUUAGGAUUUCAAGUCAAGCAACUCCAAGAUGGCACCUUUAUCAGCCAAACGAAGUACAUUCAAGACAUACUCACCAAGUUUGGGAUGAAGGAUGCCAAGCCCAUCAAGACACCCAUGGGAACUAAUGGGCAUCUCGACCUCGACACGGGAGGUAAAUCCAUAGAUCAAAAGGUAUACCGGUCGAUGAUAUGAUCUUUACUCUAUUUAUGUGCAUCUCGACCGGAUAUUAUGCUUUCCGUAUGCAUGUGUGCAAGAUUCCAAGCCGAUCCUAAGGAAGUUCACCUUAGGGCCGUAAAACGAAUCUUGAGAUAUUUAGUUCAUACUCCUAAGUUUGGCCUUUGGUACCCCAAGGGAUCCACCUUUGAUUUAAUUGGAUAUUCAGAUGCUGAUUGGGCAGGGUGUAAGAUUGAUAGAAAGAGCACAUCAGGGACUUGCCAGUUCUUGGGAAGAUGUCUGGUGUCUUGGGCUUCUAAGAAACAAAAUUAUGUACCUCUUUCCACCGCCGAAGCCGAGUACAUUGCCGCAGGCCAUUGUUGCGCGCAAUUGCUUUGGAUGAGGCAAACCCUUAGGGACUAUGGUUACAAAUUAACCAAAGUCCCUCUCCUAUGUGAUAAUGAGAGUGCAAUCCGCAUGGCGGAUAAUCCCGUUGAGCAGAGCCGCACUAAGCACAUAGCCAUUCGGUAUCACUUUUUGAGGGAUCACCAACAAUGGGAGGAUAUCGAGAUUGCAUAUGUUAGCACCAAAGAACAAUUAGCCGAUAUCUUUACCAAACCACUAGAUGAGAAAACUUUUACCAAACUUAGGCAUGAGCUAAACAUUCUUGAUUCUAGGAAUUUUGAUUGAUAUUUUGCACACAUAGCUCAUUUAUAUACCUUUGAUCAUAUCUUUUUCAUGUGCUAUGACUAAUGUGUUUCUCAAGUGUAUUUCAUACUAAGUCAUAGAAUGACAGGGAAAUGGAGUCUUCGGCGAAGACAAGGUUUCCACUCCACUCCAUCGAAUUAUUCAUCCUUCGCCGUCGCUCCACACCGCUCUUCAAUUUGGUAUAAUCUUCACUCCUAUAUUAUUUACCAAAGGGGGAGAAAGUUUGACAAAGGGCUUAUAUUUUACUCACAAGUAUCCGUUUUUGGCGAUUCAUGCCAAAGGGGGAGAAAGUAUUAGCCCAAAGCAAAAGGACCGCACCACCACCAAUUUAAAAAAUUUGUAGUCUCUCAAUUUGUAUUAAAGAUGUUUUUUUGAAAUGGGUAUCUUAUUUUUGAUAUAAUUUCAAAUUGGUAUAUCUAAAACCCUCUUGAACACUAAGAGGAGAAUUUCAUUGAGUGGGAGUUUCGUUUAGUCAAAGGAAAAGCAUUUGAAACAGGGGGAGAAAAUUUCAAAUCUUGAAAAUGCUUCUCAAAAUCAUACUCAUAUACCCUUGACUAUUUGCAAAAGACUUUUGAAAAAGAAUUUUCAAAACAUUUGAAAAACAAAACAAGUGGUGCAAGUGUGGUCC